rnacentral:ncRNA from 1 species
GACGAGGCUUAGAGUUUCUUAGACUUUCAUCCAAGCAAACAGCCAUGGCGCGCCACGGACGGCGCGACAAGGCGCUGAUGAAGCACGGAUGCUGAAUCUGCGCCGGUGGCGGAAGCUGAUAAAAAGAAACGGAAAGUCUUAGAAACUCA